rnacentral:lncRNA from 1 species
GAUCACUCCCACUAACCCCCCCUUAAUGCACAACACAUAACAACAUGGCUCAGUCAAAACAAAGGGUAACAAUCGUUUAAUAUAAACAAAAAGUUCAUAUACAGCAGAAUACUGUAAUAUUUCCUCCAUUUAAGGCCAAAACCAGUAAUGACUACAGAAGCAUGGAACUGAAAGAAAACAUUAUUGGCCGAAUAGUUUGGCAUUGAAGAUUAGAAAAAGACAAAUGAAUGAUUGGAAAUUUGAAUUUCGACAAUGACUUCAGGUUUCAUUGUCCUAUAUCUCCUGUUUUUAAAACCAAAAUGCAGUGAACCUUUGCAUGACCAUAAAACAACGCGACAUGGAGUGAAUAAUACAAUCGUAGAAUGAAUUAAAUUAAAAUUACACAAAGUCAGAUUUUUUUUGAGCAAAUAAACAAAUGAGGACAGAGCACAGUUUAAGGCUGAAAGGCAACUAUUUAAACACACCAACAAAUCAUUAUAAAAUGUGAAAAUGCCAACUAAGAUCAUAAGUCUGCAUUUUUCCCUACAAAAACACUGACUUGAGAAGACAUGGUAAAAUGUGUACCUGGAACAAGCAAAAAUCUAAAGUAGAAUGACAAUUAGAUGAUUUAAUUGCAGAAAAACCCUAAUUGAACUACAUGGUGAUCUUAAAAACCAAUAUGAGAAUAAUACUGGUACAGAAGUUAUGGCACUUCAGUUUUCUCAUUAUCAUGAUUACACAUCCAAUACCACCAAGCUCACUGUUCUAGCACUGCUUAUUGAAAAACUAUCCAGGAUCUUUAGAUUGUGCCAGAAAAACUGAUGCACGAAAAAAUGUACUUCAGUUUUAUUAUGUUAGGUUGUCAUAGGGUCACAAAAAACCUGACAAAACUCAUUUCAGCCAUAUUGUUGAAACUGAACCUAAAUGACAAUCAAUUCAUAGGUUGCACUUCCAUCACUCGGUCGCGCCAUACCACUCUUAUGAACGUUCUCCAUCUGCCCUUGAUCUAAAAUGCAUUGAGUAGAAUGCUCAGUCGGGCAUCAGUUCAAAACAAACGUUCAAAACCAUAUUGUGACGAAACAUGCAACCAUGAAUACAAGAAUGAUAAAAGAUAAAGAAUGACUGUCACAUCUUUCUACCUUAGCAGAGAAAUGGUUAUGAAGGUUGGAAAUGUAAUUACUAUUCCUGCUUUACAUCAGCUAAGUGAGGUCACAGCAGGUAGGCUACUACAUAACCCCAAUAUCAACUGGAAGGCUACUACAUAACCCCAAUAUCAACUGGAAGCCUACUACAUAACCCCAAUAUCAACUGGAAGGUUACUACAUAACCCCAAUAUCAACUGGAAGGUUACUACAUAACCCCAAUAUCAACUGGAAGGUUA